AAUCCUUUUAUGUUUUAAUGCACGUUGUUUAACCAAAUAUAAAGUGUUUAUGUGCUAAAAUGCUCCAUCUAUUUUGAACCUAUGUGUAAAUAACCGAGCACAUUCAAUUAUUUACGCUUCAACAUUAGCCUUUACUUUCUAAAUACAAUAAAACAAACACAAGUUUGAAUACUGAAUGGCGCAGUGACCACCUCUUAAAUUUUAUUUCUUAUACAAAAUGUAUCUGAUCUGCAUGUUUAGUCCAUCCAACUAAAAUAAUAAAAGUCCCACCAAAAACACAAGAUGUCAGAAUCUUGGACAAUAUGUUCUGCAACAAAAUAAUCUACAAAAUAAAUACGACACACUUAAAUACUGUUCUAUAUAAAACUUGAAUACAAAUAUUUUGUAUACAAAAAAAAAAAAAAAUGAAAAUAACUUCUACCUAUGCAGCGUGUGUGGUCACUACCCAGUCCUCGAUAACUAAAAAAACCGUGCAAUUUACUUUUAUACUGACCGCCAAACCGGUUCACGGCAAUAGUAUAUAACUUAUACAAAACCUCCUUUAUAAAAUUAAUGCGCAAUCUUUCAAAUACUUUCCGCAUACCGCACAUAUAUUCAUUUAUGUUUUAAU
rnacentral:lncRNA from 1 species